UACGUAGGGUGCAAGCGUUAAUCGGAAUUACUGGGCGUAAAGAGUGCGUAGGCGGCUAUGUAAGACAGAUGUGAAAUCCCUGGGCUUAACCUAGGAACUGCAUUUGUGACUGCAUGGCUAGAGUGUGGUAGAGGGAGAUGGAAUUCCGCAUGUAGCAGUGAAAAUGCGUAGAUAUGCGGAGGAACACCAAAUGGCGAAAGGCAAUCUCCUGGACCCUGCACUGACGCUCAUGCACGAAAAGCGUGGGGGAGCAAAACAGG
rnacentral:rRNA from 1 species